AUGCACCGUGUACUAGUUAAUGAGAUGGUUUGCAGAGUUUGUCUGAGCCCUUGCUACCGUGAGAGCAACAAGCGGCAUCAGCAUGUAUGUCUGGAAGGAGUUCAAAAAUACAGGGGUUGUGCCAUGCAACGCGAAAGAGUUCAUUUCAACGACCUGACAGGAGAUAGGCUGAAGUUUAAGGCAAACAAAUGGACAUACACCGUCAAGUGCCACAAGGGGCCCAGAGAGGGUGCAAUGUAUGGGACUGGUUGGAGGAAGUUCGUUUCAGACAACAAGUUGGGGAAGCUCUUCUACUUGGACUGGCCUUCCUCAAGGGCAGUUGUAUGUGUGAUUUAA
rnacentral:rRNA from 1 species